GUUGAACGCUGGCGGCAGGCCUAACACAUGCAAGUCGAGCGGAUGAUGGGUGCUUGCUCCUGGAUUCAGCGGCGGACGGGGGAGUAAUGCCUAGGAAUCUGCCUGGUAGUGGGGGAUAACGUCCGGGAAGGGGCGCUAAUAACGCAGACGUUCUGAGGGAGAAAGUGGGGGUUCUUCGGAGCACACGGUAGCAGAGGAGCCUAGGUCGGAUUAGCGAGUUGGUGGGGUAAAGGCCUACCAAGGGGGCGAUCCGUAACUGGUCUGAGAGGAUGAGCAGUCACACUGGAACUGAGACACGGCCCAGACUCCUACGGGAGGCAGCAGUGGGGAAUUUUGGGCAAUGGGCGAAAGCCUGCCCCAGCCAUGCCGCGUGUGUGAAGAAGGUCUUCGGAUUGUAAAGCCCUUUAAGUUGGGAGGAAGGGCAGUAAGUUAAAACCUUGCUGUUUUGACGUUACCAACCGAAUAAGCACCGGCUAACUUCGUG
rnacentral:rRNA from 1 species